CACUAUUGAGUUUAUAAACACCAUUCAAGCAUUUGUCCCGCACUUUUUAUUAUUUUGGUCACCAUUCACAUAAUUUUUAAACCGCUUCUUUUAGACGAACCGCACUUGUCCCGCAAUAUGCGUUUUUCUGACACUAACCGCACUUAAACCGCACCGCACUAACCAAUCCGCUCGUCCCGCACUGCCCAACCCGCUGUUACCAUUCGGAGCCUUAAUGUCUUUGUCCGUCUAUGCUCUUUUGUCUUAUAACAUCUAUUAGAUACUUUUUACAAGUGGCAAGAAAAUUAUUACUCUCAAUUAGACGCUGAGAUAAAUAUUUUUAUCCCUUAAAUACGACUAAUUAGUAUUGCUAGUCAAAUAGAAAUGGAGUUUAAUGAAAUUGAGAUUUGAUAUCAUAAAAUAUCUAAGUUAAAUAAUGACAUUUUAAUCAAAUUUAAUGAAGUAUCAAUUUAUCAAUAUGGUUGAAUCGAGAAAGUUUUUUUACAAAUAUGGAAAUUCUUUUAAUUUAUGAAGAUAUUAAUUUUAUAAAUAAUUGCAUUAUGAUCAAACUGGUUGGUAAGUGACCGGAACUUUUAAAUCACAAAGCGCGAAAACAAACAUAUGGGGAAAAUAUAGAAAAUGAUAAAAAGUAUUUGGGACGACCUUUUUAAAUAUUAAAGAAAGAAAAACAAAAGGGUCUUAAAGCCUUUUUGAUUUACCUUUUAAGGACUAAAUUCCGCAAAAAUUCUCUCAGCCACCCUCUCCUUCCUUCCAACGAUAAGACAUAGAGGCGGAGGAACGAUUUCAAUUUUUGUUUUCCUGAUUGUUGA
rnacentral:lncRNA from 1 species